CCUACGGGAGGCAGCAGUGGGGAAUAUUGCACAAUGGGCGAAACCCUGAUGCAGCAACGCCGCGUGAGUGAUGACGGUCUUCGGAUUGUAAAACUCUGUCUUCAGGGACGAUAAUGACGGUACCUGAGGAGGAAGCCAGGGCUAACUACGUGCCAGCAGCCGCGGUAAU
rnacentral:rRNA from 1 species